ACUACCUCUAGCAACAGAGCAUUCGCCAGAGUUGCACUGGAAUGUUCAACAUGCUUGAGCAGUGCGAGGCUGAACCUCAGUGACUUUCUAACACACGUGAACAGUGUUGCGAAGUGAGCUCAGGAGAUAACUAUUUAGCUGACUAAAAAGAAUGAGGGCAUUUUUCCGACGUCUUUUCGUAUUCAAGCAGCGGAGAUGACAUAAUUCAUUCAUCCUGUCACUUAGCUUCCGUCAACUGAGGAAAAUACAGAUGAGAUCAUUGCUGUUCUGUCACGAUGCACUGUUAUGUAACAACAGGAAUAUUUUUGGCUUUAAACAACAAGCUGCUCCGAUGUAACUGCACCGGAAACCCUGAAUGGAAUCUACUUCCUGACUCUGCUGUGUUGCCAAUGGAAACAAUAUCUCCCUUACAACCCAGCAUAAUACUUGCUACUGUCUUGAAUUGGACAAACUAUCCGAGCCAUGGUCUAAUAAUCCAAGGAUUUACAAAAGAUGUUGAAGCUGGAUGAUGGAGAAGCCAAAAUGGCGGCGGAUUAGGACACUCCAGCCGGAACUUGUCCACUCCGCCUGUUCUUUUCCUAUUUUUCCCUCCACCUUUGCCUCCCUGCUGUAGUUUUCUUCUGUUCUUCACGGGCUCUUGGCCUCGGACAACCCAUCCCGACCUCUGAUUUCUGGCAUCUGGUCGGCAGUCGAGGAAGGGGCGCCAGUGAGAGCGUGAUGACGGUGGCCUGGUGUGGGAGUGGGGAUAGUGGUCCACACAGGGAGCAUGGUGGCAGCCAGUAAUCAGACCACUUGGAGGCUUCCCGUGCUGGUCGGCUGUGGAGAUCCUUUGGAGACAGACUGUGAUAUUUGUCUUUUUAACUUUGCUUCUAGUUUUUCUAACCAAGAAUAUGUAUAACUAUAAUGUAGCAUUUUUUAUUCUUCCUUUCUAUAUUCUGUAAUUAAGGAUUGUACCUGGGCAUUCUGUACCUAAGAUGGCUUUGUGUUUUGGUGACAUUGUUACACUGUAACUAAUCUGUAUCUGAAGAAGCUGUACAUAGGUACCUUUGUACCUAAGAUUGUGCUGUGAGGGGCAACUCAUAAACUUCUCACUGUAGUCAUUUGAGUACAUGUGACAAUAAAGCUAAUUCAAUUCAAUAA